CAGAAAGUCAGCUCUAGACUCUGACACUGGGUCUAAAGAGGAGUCAGGCACCACUAUCUCCCAAUCUCAGACCUUAGUAGGGUCAGUUGUCGUAGCUCUAGGUUGCUUGUAUUAGCUGUGCAGUUAUUGCUACCUCCAGGCAUCCCAGGAAAAACCUCAGAGAGCCCUGCUCCACAAAGCUCUCUGUGCCCCAAAGCAUCUACUCAGUGAAAGUUGUGCAUGUUUUAAAUGCAAGAUUAUGAAGUCUCCCUGACACAGCAGACAUCGGGGGCAUGGUGGUUAAUCAUUACUGGUCUGAUGUCUGAUCUCCUCUGUUCCACCUCUUGGAGCACCUCUAUUAAAAAGUCUUUGUUUAGAGAGUUUGAUUUGUGUUGAUCGAGUGAUUAAUAAAAGACAUCACAUACUGUUGUAGGAUGUGUAGAGAACUUGUUAAAAUACCCUCGGCACUGUCUGCAGCUCAUGCCCCUGGACUAGUUGAUUGCUGGUUUUCUGUAUCUUGCAUAGUUGAUAAUUUGCAUUUGAAAUCUUGAGUUAUUGACUUUAAGAAAAAGUCAGAGAAAGAUGGAUUUGACUUGCAGUUAAAAAAUGCUUUAAACAGGUUUGAUAUCAGUGUCAGUGUAUUUAAGGUUCACUCCCUGAUGUCUCUUGAGAUAUUUUCUACUGUUAGUUUAGUGAAGACCCUGAGUCUGGGGGUUGGCAGUUAAACUAGAAUAUGGUUUUUAAUGUGAUUAAUUGUAAUGCAACUGGUGAUAUGAAAUGCUAAGUAGACAGUGAAUUUUUCUCGAGGGGACACAAAUCUUGAGGAACAUUCUGCUGGUCCAAGGCCCAGGGUUCCUUCUAGGGCUGGGCAAUAAACCGAAAAUGUACAGAUACCAAAAUUUACGACAAUGCCGUAAAUGACGUCAUUUUGCCCAUAUCUGUAUAUUCAGUGUCAAACAAAUAAAUAAAUAAAAGUUGGUUUUGGAUGUGUGUAGGUAGGCUUUGGUCUCAUGUCCCUUUAAGACGCUGUCCUAUGUCAGAGAUAUGACUCCACCCCAUCCAGUCCGUAACAAAGAGGGAAAGACAGGUGAGUAGAUGGAAGACGGUAGAAAUAGACAAAGUUAAUGUGGGAGGGGGUGAGCAGCUUGAGAGUAGUUAAUGUCCAUUUAUCGUAAUCUAGGUGAACUUGUUAAUGUAUCCUGAUAUUGAUUUGAGGCCAUAUCGCCCAGCCCUACUUCCUUCACGCUGAUUAAACUGCACACUUUCCUUAAUCACUCAUGAUGUCUCUGCUUAUGCUCAGCCACCACAUCCUCUGGUGCUGCAGCGCCUGCUCAUUGUUGCAACAUGCAUGUUUGUCCCAGAGGGCUUACUACAGCCAGCCCAGUCUUCAAGUAGUAAAUAAUUCAAGAGUUCAUUUCCUGAUGGUGUCCAACACAGGAUGAGGACGCUGCUCUCCUUCCUCCUCCAUCACUCCUUGUAUUAUCAUUACAAUUUGAGCUUUUUGUUUUAAUGGACAUGCUCAAGUGCUCAAGCCUUAUUUUAGUGCUGUUACUUGUCGCCACGACUGCCCCGCUUUGCCCCUUGACCCCUUAAGGUGACCCAGUACAGAGUAAUGCUUUCUCUCAGGAGAUUGCGUGAUGGAUGAAGUGGUGGUGAUGUCAUUGGCUCCCCUCCCUCCUUUGCUUGAACAGGCUCUGUAAUCCUCCUGCGUGCACUCUAAAUAAAUGUGUGUCAUCAUAUCUCCAUCUGCUUUUAUUUGGGACUAUUCAACAUCUUUUUAAAUCCCCUCAUUUUCAAUGCUCAGAAAAUAAUCAGAGUAACAUUAAAAACCGCUCCAUAUAGGAGUGGAGUAUCGUGAUCAUGGUUUUGAAUCUGAGUUUUUAGGGUGUUUUGUAAAAAAAAGAGCAGCAUAAAGCUUUUAAAGAUGUUUGUAAAAGCAGAGUUUGCAAACAGGGCUUGGAGCAUUGGCUCAAGUGGUAACAGUGUAUUAGUGUAACUGUUGUGAAGGAAAUCCUUAGCUAUAGUGCAGAGCCUGUUUGAAUUCAGGACUUAUUUAGGAUUGAAAGAUGCAUCUUAAAGGCUCAGUGUGUAGUAGGGCUGGGCGAUAAACCGAAACUUAGGACAAUAACCAACGUCAUUAUGCCCGUAUGUCGGUAUAUUCGGUGUCAAAAAAAUAAAUAAAAGUUGUUUUGGAUGUGUGUAGACAGGCAAUGGUCUCAUGUCCCUGUCUUACGUCAGAGACGUGACUCCACCCCAUCCAAUCCGUAACAAAGAGGGAAAGACAGGUGAGGAGAUGGAGGACGGUUCAAAAGUUUUUAGCGGCUGAAGUAGACGAAGUUAAUGUGGGAGGGGGUGAGCAGCUUGUGGAGUAGUUAUCAUCCAUUUAUCAUUAUCUAGCUGAAUUGCUCAAUAUAUCAUGAUAUUGAUUUGAGGCCACAUUACCCAGCCCUAGUGUGUAGUAACUUUAGCAGAGGAGACUUCUGAUUCACUCUAAUACAAAACAAAUACACUGCAAUACCAAAACAAUUUACUGUUUGUCACUGAGGAUGUAAUAUUACUAAAAAGGAGAAGUUACUGAAACAGGACCUGGUACUGAACUUUGAGGAACAGAUAGCAACAUGUCAGUUUUCAACACGGCUGCUCAGCAUUUCACCACCAUGAGACAAACAAUCCUGACACCAAGUCCAGUUCCAGAUAUAAUAUACAUCCUAUACCCUCUGUAAACCUUAAAAGAUCAAUUCAGUGAUCAAUUCAGCAUAGCACAUUUUUUCCUCUUUUGUCAUUAGAUACAAUAUCAUCAAACACAGGAAAAGCAGAUCAGUGCUGAACUAAGCUCUAAAACCAGAGUGCUGCGGACCUAAAUAGAGGAUUUCUCAGGAGAAGGGAUCUGAGCCGCCUGUUGAAUCAAGUAUGUUAGACACACAGGACAGAAGCGGAUGAAAAGAGUACGCAGGAUGAGGAUGAACGAUAUCAAAUAUUCUGGGGUGAUUUUUGUAGCAAAGCAAACUUUUCCACACAAUGACAGAGAGCCACAGUGUCAAGAGCUCCACUCAGGAUUGAGAUUGGGUGUUGUAUGUGAGUUGUGAUGGACCGAUGGUGCGCUGAAAGGAUUAUCCGACCACACACCCUCAGGUCAGACUCUGCGCUGCACUGAUGUUGGGUCAUCAUCGCCGCAG